CAGAGCACAGCGUAGUGGAAUCCCACUGAGUGGGACUCAGGCAAAGCGUCCGUCCCGAUCUGAUCUACUUCCUAUUCUAAAUUUUAAAAUUUCCGCUCGUCCGUCCACGCCACAGGAGGGAAAAUCAGGUAGACACAGAACACCAAACUCCGUUUUGAUCCCAGGAGGCAGCCUCCCCUCGAAGCAUGGGGAGCCCCCUGCCCCCCCACCGUGGGAACUCCCACAAGCCACUGGGCCCAGUUCCCGGAUGGGCCGGGCUAAGUUGCAUGCUGGGACCUUUCGGAAACGCCGGGCUUCUUGAAGGCUCCACAUAGCUCCGGACGCCGCCAAGGGUCUUUGGCAUCCCGGUGCCACCAACACGGAAGGUCUGAUCUUUCUGGUCCAAAGAAAUUGCUGGUUGGCUUCGGUCUCCACAGAGUAAGGUGAGAUUUUGUGAUGUUUAAUCAACAUCUUCUGAACUCACUUAAGGACCUACGCCUCCCACUGUCAACCAUGAUGCUGCACAUCCGGCCUCAGCCACUCAAACCCCAGUACCCAGCAUCCUACUUGGUUCUAUGAGAAAACAGCUUCAGAUUCUACACAGGGGAGGAAACCUGAAGAAGAAUGGCCAGCUCUAAUUCUCAAGACAUGGUCUG
rnacentral:lncRNA from 1 species